rnacentral:rRNA from 1 species
AUGCUUUGGGAUGAUAGUGUCGUCCGUAUUUCGGACGUUCACACCUCCGAAUUUUGUUUAUCGGUAACUGUCAACGUGAUUCACUCCGAGACGUCAUUCAAGUUAACUACUGUUUAUGUACCAACGACUUCCAACAGAAAGGAUGAUUUCUUUGAGGACUUGAUCGCCCAAAAACCAACUUCUGGAGCCAAGUGGAUUGCCAUGGGCGAUUUUAACCAAAUCUCAAGAGCAAGAGACAAAAACAAUAGAAAUGUCAACCGCAGCCGUAUUAACCGCUUUCGUGAUGCUCUCGACACAUGCGAACUCAAAGAAAUUCACCUACAGAACAGACGUUUCACUUGGAGUAAUGAGCGGCAAAACCCCACUUUAUGCAAGCUUGACUCGGUCUUCUGUAAUGCUAAUUGGGAUAUGCAUUUUUGGAUCGCACGUGCUCCACGCCAUCUCUUCCUCACUCUCAGAUCAUUGUCCUCUCCUCCUCGCUGA